rnacentral:rRNA from 1 species
UACGGAGGGUGCAAGCGUUAUCCGGAUUCACUGGGUUUAAAGGGUGCGUAGGUGGGUUGGUAAGUCAGUGGUGAAAUCUCCAGGCUUAACUUGGAAACUGCCAUUGAUUCUAUCAAUCUUGAAUACCGUGGAGGUCAGCGGAAUAUGUCAUGUAGCGGUGAAAUGCUUAGAGAUGACAUAGAACACCAAUUGCGAAGGCAGCUGGCUACACGAAUAUUGACACUGAUGCACGAAAGCGUGGGGAUCAAACAGG